CGGAAAACUGGGGAUAAUACCCUAUAGACUAGGGAUGCUGGAAUGCUCUGUAGCCGAAAGGGCCGCCGCUGUAGGAUGGGUCGGCGGCCGAUUAGGUUGUUGUUGGGGUAACGGCCCAACAAGCCUGUAAUCGGUACGGGUGGUGGGAGCAAGAGCCCGGAGAUGGAUUCUGAGACACGAAUCCAGGCCCUACGGGGCGCAGCAGGCGCGAAAACUUUACAAUGCGGGAAACCGUGAUAAGGGAACUCUGAGUGCCCGUACACUCGGGCUGUCCAUUAGUUUAAAUAACUGGUGUAGAAAGGGCCGGGCAAGACCGGUGCCAGCCGCCGCGGUAACA
rnacentral:rRNA from 1 species